AGAGUUUGAUCAUGGCUCAGGAUGAACGCUAGCUACAGGCUUAACACAUGCAAGUCGAGGGGCAGCAUGGACUCAGCUUUGCUGAGUUUGAUGGCGACCGGCGCACGGGUGAGUAACGCGUAUCCAACCUGCCCUUUACUCCGGGAUAGUCUCCUGAAAGGGAGUUUAAUACCGGAUGUGUUUGUUUCUCCGCAUGGGAGCGACAAAUAAAGAUUAAUUGGUAAAGGAUGGGGAUGCGUCCCAUUAGCUUGUUGGCGGGGUAACGGCCCACCGAAGGCAACGAGUGGGUAGGGGUUCUGGAGAGGAACGGUCCCCCACAUUGGAACUGAGACACGGUCCAAACUCCGUACGGGAGCA
rnacentral:rRNA from 1 species